CCCUUAGAUGUUCUGGGCCGCACGCGCGCUACACUGACGAAUGCAACGAGCUUAUAACCUUGGCCGAAAGGUCUGGGUAAUCUCCAAAUUUCGUCGUGAUGGGGAUAGAUUAUUGCAAUUAUUAAUCUUCAACGAGGAAUGCCUGUAAGCGCAAGUCAUCAGCUUGCGUUGAUUACGUCCCUGCCCUUUGUACACACCGCCCGUCGCUCCUACCGAUUGAAUGGUCCGGUGAAGCGUUCGGACCGUGGCCUUUGGACGGUUCGCCGUCUGUUGGCUGCGGGAAGUUCGUUAAACCUUAUCAUUUAGAGGAAGGAGAAGUCGUAACA
rnacentral:rRNA from 1 species